ACGAGCUUCUUCUUCUUCACCCAUCAAAUUUGGGGUUAAUGAUAAAUAUGUCAGAUCUGGAAAAAUUGUAAAAUUGAUAAAUCAAGCUCAGAUUUGUAAGCAGAGAACUAAGAUUUUGGAUUUCUCUACGUAUGUCUCUGCUCUCGAAUCGGAGUCAUCAGAUCUCCGAGAACUUGUCACGAAGAAAAAUAAAUAAAUUGCGGAUCUGUAAUCUUAUGUUGAUUCUCUCCAUGCUUCUCUCUCCAUUGCGUUUCAAAUGCUUUCUCUCGCCGAUGGUGAAAAUGUCAAACCCAAUUUUGACUUUUGUAAAUCCGAUGUGUUUUUUGAUUUGACUAUCUUGUUUUUCGGAAAAUUGCAGGAGAGUUUGAUAAGAGUGAAUGCUUCAUUGUCUUAUACUAUGAAGAGACUUCAGAGAGAUGUCACUAAGCUUGAGAGUUUUACGAAGACAUUUAUGAUGUCUUUUCAAGAUGAUGACCAAAAUGUUUAGAUUUAUCUAGGGGUUUUAUAAUAGGCAGACCCAAUUUAUCUAUGGAUUUAUUGGCAGGCACAACACAAAACAUUUGAGGUAUUUUAGUGAAAUCUUGUGUCGAUCUACUAACAUGGAUGAUUAAUAUUGUGUGCUUGUAUCAAAUUUUUAGGUGAUGACACUCCAUUAAAAGUUGUCAAGAAAAGAGAGAGACAAGCUAGUGUUUCUGGUAUAUGGUAAUGAUGAAUGGUCUUACGGGUAUUGUGAACAAAGAACUGUGUAUUCAGCUGUCUUAGUGGUAAGAAUCCAAUGUACACAUAUCGUGAGAAAAUUGUUCUUGGGAAGACAGAUUGCACACCUUUCAUGGUAAAUCAGAUCUUGCGUGAGCUCAGCAGGGAAUGACCAAGACAAACUUAUGAUUUUCUAUCAAAAAAUUGCAAUCACUUCUGCUAUGUACUCUGUGACAAGCUUGGUGUGCCAAAGAUCCCAUGUAAAGCCAUAAUUUGGGGAUUAGAGUGAGUGUGUUUAUGUGUGUUGGUCUUCAAGGCUUAUGUGACUGCUUAGGUUCUUUCUCUUAAUAGAUUGGGUGACUCGCUUUUCUCAUGUUGGUGACACAGCCUUGGAAGUUGAAGGAAACACAGCAAUGUAUAUGCAGUUGAGUACAUACUAGGUAAUGCUACUAGUCUAAAGAUGGCGACAUUCUCGACAAAAUGUAGAAACAAAAAUUAUCGUAUGUUAAGGAUGUUAAAGCCUACGGGCAAAGUUUCAAAGACAUGUCAGCUUGUGUUUGACUAACUCUUAUGCCUUGUGUGUCUCUACUCUAGAAGACACAUAGCUAGGUUCUUAAUUACUUAUACAUUUUGUUAACAUA